GACGAACGCUGGCGGCGUGCCUAAUACAUGCAAGUUGAGCGAUGAAGAUUGGUGCUUGCACCAAUUUGAAGAGCAGCGAACGGGUGAGUAACGCGUGGGGAAUCUGCCUUUGAGCGGGGGACAACAUUUGGAAACGAAUGCUAAUACCGCAUAACAACUUUAAACAUAAGUUUUAAGUUUGAAAGAUGCAUUUGCAUCACUCAAAGAUGAUCCCGCGUUGUAUUAGCUAGUUGGUGAGGUAAAGGCUCAACAAGGCGAUGAUACAUAACCGACCUGAGAGGGUGAUCGGCCACAUUGGGACUGAGAAACGGCCCAAGCUCCCACGGGAGGCAGCAGUAGGGAAUCUUCGGCAAUGGACGAAAGUCUUACCGAACAACGCCGCGUGAGUGAAGAAGGUUUUCGGAUCGUAAAACUCUGUUGGUAGAGGAGAACGUUGGUGAGAGUGGAAAGCUCAUCAAGUGACGGUAACUACCCAGAAAGGGACGGCUAACUACGUG
rnacentral:rRNA from 1 species